rnacentral:rRNA from 1 species
UACGGAGGGUGCGAGCGUUGUCCGGAAUCACUGGGCGUAAAGGGCGCGUAGGCGGCGCGAUAAGUCGGAUGUGAAAUCCCGGGGCUCAACUCCGGGGCUGCAUCCGAGACUGUCGUGCUCGAGCGUGGUAGAGGCGAGUGGAAAUCCCGGUGUAGCGGUGGAAGGCGUAGAGAUCGGGAAGAACACCAGUGGCGAAGGCGGCUCGCUGGGCCAUUGCUGACGCUGAUGCGCGAAAGCGUGGGGAGCAAACAGG